rnacentral:tRNA from 1 species
GCCCGGGUGGCGGAACGGUAGACUCAGAGGACUUAAAAUCCUCUGACCGCAAGGUCGUAGGAGUUCGAGUCUCCUCCCGGGCACCA